rnacentral:rRNA from 1 species
AUUGAACGCUGGCGGCAUGCUUUACACAUGCAAGUCGAACGGUAACAGGCCGCAAGGUGCUGACGAGUGGCGAACGGGUGAGUAAUGCAUCGGAACGUGCCCAGUCGUGGGGGAUAACUACUCGAAAGAGUAGCUAAUACCGCAUACGAUCUAUGGAUGAAAGCGGGGGACCGUAAGGCCUCGCGCGAUUGGAGCUGCCGAUGUCAGAUUAGGUAGUUGGUGGGGUAAAGGCUCACCAAGCCAACGAUCUGUAGCUGGUCUGAGAGGACGACCAGCCACACUGGGACUGAGACACGGCCCAGACUCCUACGGGAGGCAGCAGUGGGGAAUUUUGGACAAUGGGCGCAAGCCUGAUCCAGCAAUGCCGCGUGCAGGAAGAAGGCCUUCGGGUUGUAAACUGCUUUUGUACGGAACGAAACGGCUCUGGUUAAUACCCGGGGCUAAUGACGGUACCGUAAGAAUAAGCACCGGCUAACUACGUG